rnacentral:lncRNA from 1 species
AGCUAGCUUCCCUGCUGCAUCACCCAGCAGUUCAGAAUGGCAGCAGCGGCCACGCUCUCAACAUCAGCCCAACAUCAGUGACUUUUCCUCCAUGCCUGAUUUCACUGCGGUCAGAUCCACUGUCUCCUCCAACCAGACUGAGAGACUGGAGCAAAGAAGAAGACGUGCAUGAGCGACAAAAGAGGAGGAGGAGGAGGUCAAGUAGUGAUGUGUCCACAGUGAUGUGCUGCUUCAAAAGGGGAGGAGUCAGAAUACAGGUUCCAGCACCACUGCCUCACAGAAAGCCUACUCUGCACAUUCUGCAGACACUGGUCUACAGGGAGGAAAUAGGGAGGAAAUUGUGCAGAAAGUAUAAAACUUUCUUCCUCCGCUUCUGA